rnacentral:rRNA from 1 species
AUGGCGAUGGCAAGGAUGCCCAUCCUCGUUGCCGUGGCUCUCGUGGCCGCAGUGGCCUCCUGCAGCGCGUGGGAGCCUAACAUCUGUAGGCCGAUGGCGGAGGUUGCGGCGACUGCUGUAGAUGACGCCGUGGUGCCACUCAUCCACGCGUUGCGGCCGCUGCUGGGCUCCGGCGGGCAGCUCGGGAGCCACGGCGGCUGGCCGUGCGACAGCUGGCGGCUGGGCGUGGAGGCGUAUAACGUGCGGGACUGGAAGACGGUCCCCGCCAACUGCGAGGGAUACGUGGGCCACUACAUGCUCAGCAGCCACUACCGCCGCGACUCCAAGGUCGUCAUCGACCAGGCCAUCACCUACCUUGACAGCAUCAGGCUCGCCGGCAAUGGCAACGAGGUGUGGGUCUUCGACAUCGACGAGGCCAUGCUCUCCAACCUACCUUACUACGCCAGGCACGGCUUCGGGGCUAGGCCAUACAACGCGACGAGCUACAACGCGUACGUGUUCUAG